GUCUUUGAUGUUCACCAUUCAGUCUAUUGAAAGUCAAUAUUACAGUCAUACGGCGUCAAAUUUAUUAUUAUGUUUUAUCAUCAAUUUUUGAAUUUAACACAGAUAAUUUUAAUUUUCAUGGAUCAUCUGACGUUGUCUUUGAUGUUCACCAUUCAGUCUAUUGAAAGUCAAUAUUACAGUCAUACGGCGUCAAAUUUAUUAUUAUGUUUUAUCAUCAAUUUGUGAAUUUAACACAGAUAAUUUUAAUUUUCAUGGAUCAUCUGACGUUGUCUUUGAUGUUCACCAUUCAGUCUAUUGAAAGUCAAUAUUACAGUCAUACGGCGUCAAAUUUAUUAUUAUGUUUUAUCAUCAAUUUUUGAAUUUAACACAGAUAAUUUUAAUUUUCAUGGAUCAUCUGACGUUGUCUUUGAUGUUCACCAUUCAGUCUAUUGAAAGUCAAUAUUACAGUCAUACGGCGUCAAAUUUAUUAUUAUGUUUUAUCAUCAAUUUGUGAAUUUAACACAGAUAAUUUUAAUUUUCAUGGAUCAUCUGACGUUGUCUUUGAUGUUCACCAUUCAGUCUAUUGAAAGUCAAUAUUACAGUCAUACGGCGUCAAAUUUAUUAUUAUGUUUUAUCAUCAAUUUUUGAAUUUAACACAGAUAAUUUUAAUUUUCAUGGAUCAUCUGACGUUGUCUUUGAUGUUCACCAUUCAGUCUAUUGAAAGUCAAUAUU